rnacentral:misc_RNA from 1 species
UCCGACUUAACGUCGGCAGUCCCAUUAGAGUGCCCAACUGAAUGCUGGCAACUAAUGGCAAGGGUUGCGCUCGUUGCGGGACUUAACCCAACAUCUCACGACACGAGCUGACGACAGCCAUGCAGCACCUGUGUACCGGCCCGAAGGCGACACCAUCUCUGGUAGUCUUCCAGUACAUGUCAAACCCAGGUAAGGUUCUUCGCGUUGCAUCGAAUUGAACCACAUGCUCCGCUGCUUGUGCGGGUCCCCGUCAAUUCCUUUGAGUUUUAGCCUUGCGGCCGUACUCCCCAGGCGGGGCGCUUAAUGCGUUAGCUUCGGCACGGGAGGAGUCGACACCUCCCACACCUAGCGCCCAUCGUUUACGGCGUGGACUAC